UAAAAUGUUUUGUGUGUAUGUCUUUUAUCCACAAACUCGAGUUAUGAUUAGGUGAAAGAAUAAUCUAACAUAUGUACUAAUGUGGACUAUAUCUGUUUUUCAGGUGAUGGGGGUUACGGCUGCUACUCUUGGCUCCUUACUCCAUUGUCCCAACCUGAUUCUCCUGCUGAACACAGUUACAAUCAUGCACAUAAGGCUACGCGGAAUGUGAUAGAAAGAUGUUUUGGUGUGCUGAAGUCACGGUUUCGGUGUCUGGAUAAAUCUGCUGGCCUUUUGUUGUAUAGUCCCUCAAAGAUAACUGAGGGGAUCGGGGCUCAUCACUCUGCGAACUCGCCAAUAGUGCCAGUGGUGGCUGGGGUGACACUGCCGAAAGUCGUCGCCUGGGUGGGGAUGAUGGAGCCGCAGAUUCCGAGCCAAGACGCCGUGUCUUACUUGGCCUCCUGGAAUAUGUGACUACACUGAAGUCUUACCUGCAAUCCCAGCCUCAUCCUGACUUGUCUGAGGCCUGUCUGGCCGGCUGGUCUGUGGGACUGUUGAAAAAGUGUACCAAACAUUAUUACCAUGCUUUGUGUAAAAAAACCCCCUGCAAAGCCUUAUUGUACUGUAACCAUC